rnacentral:sRNA from 1 species
AGCGAGAUAGAAACAGAGAAUCAGAAAAACACAGCGCACACAAUUAAAAUAAGUUAAGCGAUAAGAAAUAAGAGAGAAAAUAGCCGCUAAAAAGAAUAGCAAUACCUUGGCCGAAGAAAGCACAACGAAAGAACAAGAAUCAAGGAGAGAGAGAGAGAGAGAAGCCAACAACAAAACCCAUCAAAUUUGGUAAACCCCUAUUCAAAAAAUUCCCAAUCCAUGAUCAGCGGAGAGCAGCAAUUUACCUCCAAGCCAGUACUAUGGUAAUAUCACUCGGUACGAUGGGCCUCGUGCCCCUGCCACAUCGAAAAAUCGCCAUGCAUCCAAGAUUGUAAAUAAAAAUAUUUAUUAAAUUCCCCCCUCAAGAAAAUGCACAAGAAACUUGAGAUAAGAGCCUGAUAAAAACAAAAAAAAAAAUUAAAAGAAAUAAAAGAAGUAAAAGAGAGGGGGAAGGAAGGAUAGAAGGAGGAGGAGCACCCCACCCCCACCCACCGCCAUACAAAUGAGGGUGCAACAGGUUGACCACCUAACAACAACAACAACAAAGAGAUAAAAUAAUAAUAAAAAAAAAACGAAAAUAAAAAAAGCAACAAACUAACCGCA